CUGAUCGAACAUCCAGAAUACCCAGGUUUAACAGCAUCGCAGUUUUCAUUUCAAAUUCCAUCACCUUUGGAGGAAAAUUACGUGCGGAAGCGUCAUGCUCGUUCUAUUACUUUGCAUGGUGACACUAUGAUGCCAGUCAAUCCCACAUCUUGGGUUGUUCCAGACCAGAGCAGAGACUUGCACUUGGGUGGGGUAGGGAACUCUACUUCACAUGUUGAGGAUCCAGCUCAAAGUUGAGGUUUGUUAAGGCAGCAGCGCAUGCUGAGAUCAUUUAUUUGAACAGAUGCAGAAAUCUAUUUCAAGGAAAAGCCGGUGAAUAUGUAGAUGUGUUGGUUGAUUCUCUAGUUUUCUGUUCUAAAUGACUAAAUCCCGCUUGUGUGAGGAAAACUAUCCAAGUUUCUUCAUCGACUGUCUUAGUAUUGAUUUCAUGACGACACUGUGAAACUAUUAAAGACGAUAAUUUAUGUUUUCUUGUUUCCAAUGUUGUUACUUUCAUUACAAAUGGAAUGAUGUUAAAGUAGUCUUGUUCUUCCUCCUCUUUUUUCAUACUAGUCUUG